AUGCAAGUCGAACGGUAGAGGGGGCAACCCCUCGAGAGUGGCGAACGGGUCAUUAAUAUAUCGGAACGUGCCCAGUCGUGGGGGAUAACGUAGUGAAAAUUACGCUAAUACCGCAUACGAUCUAAGGAUGAAAGCGGGGGACUCGCAAGAGCCUCGCGCGAUUGGAGCGGCCGAUAUCAGAUUAGGUAGUUGGUGAGGUAAAGGCUCACCAAGCCAACGAUCUGUAGCUGGUCUGAGAGGACGACCAGCCACACUGGAACUGAGACACGGUCCAGACUCCUACGGGAGGCAGCAGUGGGGAAUUUUGGACAAUGGACGCAAGUCUGAUCCAGCCAUUCCGCGUGCAGGACGAAGGCCUUCGGGUUGUAAACUGCUUUUGUACAGAACGAAAAGGUCUCUAUUAAUACUAGGGGCUCAUGACGGUACUGUAAGAAUAAGCACCGGCUAACUACGUGCCAGCAGCCGCGGUAAUACGUAGGGUGCAAGCGUUAAUCGGAAUUACUGGGCGUAAAGCGUGCGCAGGCGGUUAUAUAAGACAGAUGUGAAAUCCCCGGGCUCAACCUGGGAACUGCAUUUGUGACUGUAUAGCUGGAGUGCGGCAGAGGGGGAUGGAAUUCCGCGUGUAGCAGUGAAAUGCGUAGAUAUGCGGAGGAACACCGAUGGCGAAGGCAAUCCCCUGGGCCUGCACUGACGCUCAUGCACGAAAGCGUGGGGAGCAAACAGGAUUAGAUACCCUGGUAGUCCACGCCCUAAACGAUGUCAACUGGUUGUUGGGUCUUCACUGACUCAGUAACGAAGCUAUCGCGUGAAGUUGACCGCCUGGGGAGUACGGCCUGCAGGUUGGAACUCAAAGGAAUUGACGGGGACCCGCACAAGCGGUGGAUGAUGUGGUUUUAUUCGAUGCAACGCGAAAAACCUUACCCACCUUUGACAUGUACGGAAUUCGCC
rnacentral:rRNA from 1 species